ACAUUGUGGUUGUUUAUUCGUUAGUAUCAACACUUCAGGAAAACAUAUUCAGUUUCUUAAGUGGACAACCAACUUGCUAAAAAAUGGCCAAGAAAAUCUACAAAUUAAUAAUGUACAGUGCUGCUGUGACUUCUUGUCUUAUUGCCUGCUAUCCAUGGCUUCUUGUUACUGGUUCGAGGAUGUAAAUUUUCGAAGAAAUGGUUAUCUCGGAUUUCGACCGGCAAAUAUACCUACUUACUUAACUAUGUACUAUAUCAAUAAGCACCUUGCACUUUACACUGCAUAAUAAUAAAAACAUAUUAAAAAUU